rfam:Serratia sp. ATCC 39006 ctg1, whole genome shotgun sequence.
GGUUAAGCGACUAAGCGUACACGGUGGAUGCCUAGGCAGUCAGAGGCGAUGAAGGGCGUGCUAAUCUGCGAAAAGCGUCGGCAAGGUGAUAUGAACCGUUAUACCCGACGAUACCCGAAUGGGGAAACCCAGUGUGUUUCGACACACUAUCAUGUCAUGAAUCCAUAGUGACAUGAGGCGAACCGGGGGAACUGAAACAUCUCAGUACCCCGAGGAAAAGAAAUCAACCGAGAUUCCCCCAGUAGCGGCGAGCGAACGGGGAAGAGCCCAGAACCAGAAUCAGUUUGUGCAUCAGUGGAAGCGUCUGGAAAGUCGCACGGUACAGGGUGAUAGUCCCGUACACAAAGAUGCGCUUGCUGUGAGUUCGACGAGUAGGGCGGGACACGAGAUAUCCUGUCUGAAGAUGGGGGGACCAUCCUCCAAGGCUAAAUACUCCUGACUGACCGAUAGUGAACCAGUACCGUGAGGGAAAGGCGAAAAGAACCCCGGCGAGGGGAGUGAAACAGAACCUGAAACCGUGUACGUACAAGCAGUGGGAGCCCCACCACCAAAGCAUUCUCUGGUGAUGAAGGCAGCGCAACAGCAGCAUCGCGGUGGCGGCGCGUCUUUUGCGACGCCCAACACACAAGACAAGCGGUGAGUGCUUUGGGGUGGGGUGACUGCGUACCUUUUGUAUAAUGGGUCAGCGACUUAUAUUUUGUAGCAAGGUUAACCGAAUAGGGGAGCCGCAGGGAAACCGAGUCUUAACUGGGCGUCAAGUUGCAAGGUAUAGACCCGAAACCCGGUGAUCUAGCCAUGGGCAGGUUGAAGGUUGGGUAACACUAACUGGAGGACCGAACCGACUAAUGUUGAAAAAUUAGCGGAUGACUUGUGGCUGGGGGUGAAAGGCCAAUCAAACCGGGAGAUAGCUGGUUCUCCCCGAAAGCUAUUUAGGUAGCGCCUCGUGAAGUCAUCUUCGGGGGUAGAGCACUGUUUCGACUAGGGGGCCAUCCCGGCUUACCAACUCGAUGCAAACUGCGAAUACCGAAGAAUGUUAUCACGGGAGACACACGGCGGGUGCUAACGUCCGUCGUGAAGAGGGAAACAACCCAGACCGCCAGCUAAGGUCCCAAAGUCAUGGUUAAGUGGGAAACGAUGUGGGAAGGCCCAGACAGCCAGGAUGUUGGCUUAGAAGCAGCCAUCAUUUAAAGAAAGCGUAAUAGCUCACUGGUCGAGUCGGCCUGCGCGGAAGAUGUAACGGGGCUAAACCAUGCACCGAAGCUGCGGCAGCGACGCUUAGGCGUUGUUGGGUAGGGGAGCGUUCUGUAAGCCGUUGAAGGUGGUCUGUGAGGAUUGCUGGAGGUAUCAGAAGUGCGAAUGCUGACAUAAGUAACGAUAAUGCGGGUGAAAAACCCGCACGCCGGAAGACCAAGGGUUCCUGUCCAACGUUAAUCGGGGCAGGGUGAGUCGACCCCUAAGGCGAGGCCGAAAGGCGUAGUCGAUGGGAAACAGGUUAAUAUUCCUGUACUGGGUGUUACUGCGAAGGGGGGACGGAGAAGGCUAUGUUGGCCGGGCGACGGUUGUCCCGGUUUAAGCGUGUAGGUGGGUGCUCCAGGCAAAUCCGGAGCGCUAUUAACGCCGAGGCGUGAUGACGAGGCACUACGGUGUCGAAGUGACAAAUGCCACGCUUCCAGGAAAAGCCCCUAAGCAUCAGGUAACAUCGAAUCGUACCCCAAACCGACACAGGUGGUCAGGUAGAGAAUACUCAGGCGCUUGAGAGAACUCGGGUGAAGGAACUAGGCAAAAUGGUGCCGUAACUUCGGGAGAAGGCACGCUGUGCGAGGUGAAGUCCCUGGCGGAUGGAGCGUUGCGCAGUCGCAGAUACCAGCUGGCUGCAACUGUUUACUAAAAACACAGCACUGUGCAAACACGAAAGUGGACGUAUACGGUGUGACGCCUGCCCGGUGCCGGAAGGUUAAUUGAUGGGGUAAGCCGCAAGGCGAAGCUCUUGAUCGAAGCCCCGGUAAACGGCGGCCGUAACUAUAACGGUCCUAAGGUAGCGAAAUUCCUUGUCGGGUAAGUUCCGACCUGCACGAAUGGCGUAAUGAUGGCCAGGCUGUCUCCACCCGAGACUCAGUGAAAUUGAACUCGCUGUGAAGAUGCAGUGUACCCGCGGCAAGACGGAAAGACCCCGUGAACCUUUACUAUAGCUUGACACUGAACCUUGAGCCUUGAUGUGUAGGAUAGGUGGGAGGCUUUGAAGCGUGGACGCCAGUCUGCGUGGAGCCAACCUUGAAAUACCACCCUUUGAUGUUUGAUGUUCUAACGUGGGCCCGUGAACCGGGUUGCGGACAGUGUCUGGUGGGUAGUUUGACUGGGGCGGUCUCCUCCCAAAGAGUAACGGAGGAGUACGAAGGUUAGCUAAUCCUGGUCGGACAUCAGGAGGUUAGUGCAAAGGCAUAAGCUAGCUUGACUGCGAGAGUGACGGCUCGAGCAGGUGCGAAAGCAGGUCUUAGUGAUCCGGUGGUUCUGAAUGGAAGGGCCAUCGCUCAACGGAUAAAAGGUACUCCGGGGAUAACAGGCUGAUACCGCCCAAGAGUUCAUAUCGACGGCGGUGUUUGGCACCUCGAUGUCGGCUCAUCACAUCCUGGGGCUGAAGUAGGUCCCAAGGGUAUGGCUGUUCGCCAUUUAAAGUGGUACGCGAGCUGGGUUUAGAACGUCGUGAGACAGUUCGGUCCCUAUCUGCCGUGGGCGUUGGAAGAUUGAGGGGGGUUGCUCCUAGUACGAGAGGACCGGAGUGAACGCACCACUGGUGUACGGGUUGUGAUGCCAAUUGCAUUGCCCGGUAGCUACGUGCGGAAGAGAUAACCGCUGAAAGCAUCUAAGCGGGAAACUUGCCCCGAGAUGAGUCUUCCCUGGGCCUUAAAGGCCCCUGAAGGGACGUUUAAGACGAAGACGUUGAUAGGCUGGGUGUGUAAGCGCAGCGAUGCGUUGAGCUGACCAGUACUAAUGACCCGAGAGGCUUAACCUU